rnacentral:lncRNA from 1 species
CGCUUUGGCCUUUGGAACUUCGGUAUAGCCAUUUUCUACCACUUCCCAUAAAGCAUGUGAUCGGAAAAAUACUUUCAAUUGGAUAGCCCAAUUGUUGUAAUUUUUACUGUUGAGUUUUGGGAGUUGAAACUGAAUCGAGUUAUUGCCUGACAUGACUCAAUUUCCUAACACCUCAGAAGACUCAAACUAGCUCUGAUACCAAAUGUAGGAACCAAA